AGCUCGGUGGUGCAGGUGGUAGAGCACGCCCGCGUCACAUGUGCCUUGUGUACCUGUACGUUGUAUGUGGGAGAUCCCAGUUCGAUCCUGGGCCGAGCUC